rnacentral:rRNA from 1 species
CAGUAGCCGCGGUAAUACAGAGGGUGCGAGCGUUAAUCGGAUUUACUGGGCGUAAAGCGUGCGUAGGCGGCUUCUUAAGUCGGAUGUGAAAUCCCUGAGCUUAACUUAGGAAUUGCAUUCGAUACUGGGUAGCUAGAGUAUGGGAGAGGAUGGUAGAAUUCCAGGUGUAGCGGUGAAAUGCGUAGAGAUCUGGAGGAAUACCGAUGGCGAAGGCAGCCAUCUGGCCUAAUACUGACGCUGAGGUACGAAAGCAUGGGGAGCAAACAGGAUUAGAUACCCCCGUAGUCCCUGUCUUUAUACA